GCCUGACGCAGCGACGCCGCGUGCGGGAAGAAGGCCUUCGGGUUGUAAACCGCUUUCAGGAGGGACGAAGCCACUCGGGUGAAUAGCCCAGAGGGUGACGGUACCUCCAGAAGAAGCCCCGGCUAACUACGUGCCAGCAGCCGCGGUAAUACGUAGGGGGCAAGCGUUGUCCGGAUUUAUUGGGCGUAAAGAGCGUGUAGGCGGCCAGGCAGGUCCGCUGUGAAAACUCGAGGCUCAACCUCGAGACGUCGGUGGAAACCGCCUGGCUAGAGUCCGGAAGAGGAGAAUGGAAUUCCUGGUGUAGCGGUGAAAUGCGCAGAUAUCAGGAAGAACACCCGUGGCGAAGGCGGUUCUCUGGGACGGUACUGACGCUGAGACGCGAAAGCGUGGGGAGCGAACAGGAUUAGAUACCCUGGUAGUCCACGCCGUAAACGAUGAAUGCUAGCCGUCAGCAGGCUUGCCUGUUGGUGGCGCACCUAACGGAUUAAGCAUUCCGCC
rnacentral:rRNA from 1 species